GACGGAGGAUGCAAGCGUUAUCCGGAAUUAUUGGGCGUAAAGCGUCCGCAGGUGGCCUAUCAAGUCUGCUGUCAAAGACCGGGGCUUAACCCCAGAAAGGCAGUGGAAACUGAAAGGCUAGAGGAUGGUAGGGGCAGAGGGAAUUCCCAGUGUAGCGGUGAAAUGCGUAGAGAUUGGGAAGAACACCGGUGGCGAAAGCGCUCUGCUGGGCCAUAACUGACACUCAGGGACGAAAGCUAGGGGAGCGAAUGGG
rnacentral:rRNA from 2 species